rnacentral:RNase_P_RNA from 1 species
AGAAGUUUGAUAUAGAGGUCAUGUGCUGGAUAUUUGUCACUCUUCUUGUGCCUCUGGGAAGGUCAGAGACAGGGCCAUGUAUCACCCUAAUAGGGUGCAGCUUCUUGGAGGGGGGUGAGUUCCCAGCAAUCUGGAUCUCCAGCACCGCCUGACACUGGGGCAGGAGAAGCGGCGGAGGGGCUUAUCCCCUUCAACGCAGAUGCCUCUGUGGAGUGAUGGGGUUUGGGAAUGACUCAUGGCCAGCAACUAUGGGCCUGUUCGCACUUUCCACCAUAGAAUGGGCUAAUUAGUCGAUUCU